CUAAAUAUAUCGUGGCCAAAAAAGGGUGGGAGCUCAAAGCCGCCGCAUCCCCACCUUGCCUCUGUUACAGUUCGGUUCCGCCAUGGGGGCCAGGGCGAAUCGUCAUCUAGUGUGGGACUUAUACCAGGGAAAAUUGGAUCGAGGGAGCUCAAUUACUUGCUGAAGACAUUCGGCGCUGUGAAUCUGCCCUCCGACGAGUUCGGGUGUUCCUGCGACAUUGACUACGGAAUGUGGCAGAUGUUGUUGCAGAUAUGAUGUACUAUGCUUGAAUCCCGGUGAUUAAUCAAGCUAUGUUGAGUAGUUAAGGGUGACGUCCAGACAUUAAGAGAGAUGUGUCGCAGUAUGGACUAAAUAUGACCGAGCAACAAUUUCUUCAGCAUUCGAUUUCAUAUGUCGCUGCCAAUUAUGUUGUUUGGUGCGCCUUAUGUCGUUAUUGGGCUUCGAAUGAGUUCAAUGCAAAGUCUGUGCGAUAAAGUUCCAAUCGUGGAAUCGAGUCAUACCGCAGGGGGCAUAGAGGACCAGAUCCUGCAAACCUAGAUGUGUUGUGCAACCAAGUGGCAACAUAUCGUCUUUCUGCAUAUGGCGAGCUGAUGUCUAGUCAGCAUGCGCGGAUCAAACUAUGACAAGAGGACCGCAUCUAAUGAUCCUCAGGCUGUGUAUGCAAGUGGAGGAAAACCUUAUGGAAGGUACUCGAUGUUCGAUAAUGUCAUUGACACGAGUCAGGUGAGGGUUCAGAGGAGAGGUUCAUCGAGGUCUACUGCUCGUAGCUCCUAUCUCUCCACCUCAAAUCCAACUAAAGUUGAGCGAUUACGAGAGGAACUUAGGAACCAACAGGAGUAACAAAGGGUCCAGGAGGAUUCCUUGAGGCAAGUUGUGCAACAAUAAGCCUACUAUGCUUCUCAGUUUCAACAACAACAAGCAUUCCUUAACAACUAGCACAAGGCCAAGGGAUAUCGCUCCUAGUGCCCCCACCUCCACCUCCCAUACAGUUUCCUUGGCCUUCACCUGGACAUUGGGUAUGUGAAUUCAUCAUCAUUCGAGGAAGAAUUACUUGUUAUAUUACAAUGUAACUUGCCAAAUGUCAUUUGCACAAAUAUAUUAGACCCAUCCACCUAACCUUGCCGGUGUAGCAACAAGUUGACGAUUAUGACUUUGUCAAUGCAUUCUACGCCAAUGGAGAUAAUGAACAUCACUCGCCUUAGUUCCCCGAUGAUCAUUUGAUGUGUUUUGUGAGACGUGAGACGUUUGUGUCUUGUCAAAGCUGUGACUUAUGAGAUUGAAUUUGACAAUUUUGUGACUUUUGUGCAAUGAAAUGAGUUGUUAUUGUGAGAUGUAAUAUGUGAAAUGUGGUGUGGUGUGACUGUUAGUAUAUUUGUUAUGUUGUAGAAUGUGGUGUAUAAUGAAAAUGAAACAACAUUUGUAAUGUUGGUCAA